GACGAACGCUGACGGUGUGCUUUAGACAUGCAAGUCGAACGAGAAAGCCCUUCGGGGUUAGUAAAGUGGCGAACGGGUGAGUAACACGUGGGCAAUCUGCCCCUCGCAGGGGGGACAACCGGAGGAAACUCCGGCUAAUACCCCGUAAGUUCAAAGGGAGGCAUCUCUCUUCGAAGAAAGGUAGCUUCGGCCAUCCGGCGAGGGAUGAGCCCGCGGUGCAUUAGCUAGUUGGUGGGGUAACGGCCUACCAAGGCGACGAUGCAUAGCUGGUCUGAGAGAUGAUCAGCCACACUGGGACUGAGACACGGCCCAGACUCCUACGGGAGGCAGCAGUCGGGGAAUCUUGCGCAAUGGGCGAAAGCCUGACGCAGCAACACCGUGUGU
rnacentral:rRNA from 1 species